rnacentral:lncRNA from 1 species
GAGAGUUCUGGCGAGGGCUGCGGGAAGGAAAGGGGGCGGCGUCCUUCACAGGGAGGGUGCAGCUGACCUCCCUCCCCUUGUGCAGACUGGAAAAGAAUGGCCCAGAUCCUCUGGACUCCUCAGAUGAGCGGAUUCAGAGAGAAGCUUUUGAGAGCGUGCUGGCGGAGACAUUUUUCACAAAAGAGCCCUUGCGGUGCUGGUGUCCGUGGCGUGCCUGGGUGGAAAAUGAGCUUAUAUAUGAAGAAGUCAGCGAGUGGACAAAGCCAGGCGCAAUGGAUAGCAAAGAUGUGGAAGUCUCCUCGAUUCAAGUUACAAGAAAACCGCAGCAUGGAGUCUGCUCUCAGCUGUUGGGGAAUUACCGAUGCCUUUGACUAAGUCAAGACUGACUUUUCCAGAAUAUCACCCAAGAGAUAGAGCCGUCCCUGUCCAAGUUUGUGCGCUAGCCCUUCAUGGAGGUCAGAGAGGAAGAAACAAAGGCAGCUGUGGCCUCGGCGGUCACAGUGUCAGAACGCACAAGCCCCAUAAAGAGGUUUCACGCAGGCCACCCAUCCCUUUUCAUUCUCCAGCAGAACAGGACAGAGAGCGUUCUGUUCUGCGGAAGGUCUUCCACUCUACAAGGCAAUCCCUCCAGCUGCUUUGCUGUAUUGUGCUGUCUCCUGUCACACUAUGAAUGCAGUGACCUCAGCCAGCAACAGGGAGAACCCCCCUGCCUCCCGAACAAAGGACCUCACGUGAAAUCCUGAGCUCAGAGCUUACAGAUAUGUGUGCGCUUUCACUUUACAUCGGCCGUGACUUCCAAACAACUUCAGGAAACUUUAGGAUCUCUGAGGUAUACUGGAGAUGACAGCAGCGUAGAAUGUUCAUUUGGAUUUAGAACAGAAAUGCUUAUUUUAUAUUUGGCUGCUCCCAAACUGUCCCCAGACUUCCUCUCCAGUGGUUACCCUCCACUGCCCUGGAUGUCCCACGUUUACACUCCACACUCACACCUCCACCUUAACAAAGUCCUCCACUGGGUCAAACCAUACAUCGCUUCGUCUCUGUAGUGAUGACUUCCUGUCCUCUGCUCUGUGGAUAAAGACCCCAGAUAAAGAUGCCUGUGUUGCUCAACUCUUGUAAAUACUCUUGAGACAUUUUGAAAGCAGAAGGAAAGGAGACAGACGGGGAAAAUAAAAGGGAUGGUCUGCUUGUGCGGAAACGUUUUGAGAAUGCCCUUCCCUAAGAGAGAACAGUAAAAGUGAGCAAUACUUCCUG